rnacentral:rRNA from 1 species
AGGGUGUAAACGCUGCGGGCUUGGUGCUGGGGGUCCUUAGUGGGCGCCCAGUGCCGGAGAGAAGUUGUUAAGCCUGCUGCUUGGGGAGUAUGUCCGCAAGGAUGAAACUUAAAGGAAUUGGCGGGGGAGCACCGCAACGGGAGGAGCGUGCGGUUCAAUUGGAUUCAACGCCGGACAACUCACCAGGAGCGACGGUUACAUGAAGGCCAGGCUGAUGACCUUGCCUGAUUUUCUGAGAGGUGGUGCAUGGCGUAGACGUCU